ACUCAAAGGAAUAGACGGGGGCCCGCACAAGCGGUGGAGCAUGUGGUUUAAUUCGACGCAACGCGCAGAACCUUACCAGGGCUUGACAUGGGAAAGACCGGACGAGAGAUCGUCCUUCUCCAGCAAUGGAGCUUUCCACACAGGUGCUGCAUGGCUGUCGUCAGCUCGUGUCGUGAGAUGUUGGGUUAAGUCCCGCAACGAGCGCAACCCUCGUUUUUAGUUGCCAUCAUUCAGUUGGGCACUCUAAAGAGACUGCCGCGAAUAACGCGGAGGAAGGUGGGGACGACGUCAAGUCAUCAUGGCCCUUACGUCCUGGGCUACACACGUGCUACAAUGGGCGCUACAAAGGGUCGCAAGAGCGCAAGCUGGAGCCAAUCCCCAAAAGCGUCCUCAGUUCGGAUCGAGGUCUGCAACCCGACCUCGUGAAGGUGGAAUCGCUAGUAAUCGCGGAUCAGAACGCCGCGGUGAAUACGUUCCCGGGCCUUGCACACACCGCCCGU
rnacentral:rRNA from 1 species